UCAGAAGCUGCGAAACAGGAGUAGCAAGAUACAUCGGACAUUCUGGCAGCCAUAGCAAACUACCAAGGGAGGGCUUUCAAUGAAGUAUCCUUAAAGAAUGGGCAUGAGUAUAAUUAAGAAAAGUUAUUCAAGUUAUUGCCUCCCUACAAUUUUUUCUCUAGAAUGACUACUGGGGAAACCAUGUUCUCAAACUGUGUCUGGAUGAAAGCCCAAUUCAACAGAGGAGGAGAAAAUGGUCUGAUCAUUCCCUGGCAAAAGAUUUCAAUGAUAGCAGACCAGAGAAGUAGCUGGAGGUGUGUUACACAAGAGAUUCAACAUGCUGCCAGUUCAAACCAUGGCUAGAAGUCACCCUAAAUGAAACUGAAGAACACAUGAAGAACAAUUGUGGUGGCAACUGAGCCCCCUGGUCAGAGGUGUAACUUUAAAUGUUGGUGCCCUGGGUGGCAUGGGGUAAGGAGUGAGCUCUUACCUCCUUGUGCAGGUGCUGCUGUGGAAGUGGACUCAUGGGCAGCUGCUGCCUCAGGGUCAGCUCCUGCAGCUAUGGCUUCAGCAGUGGUGGUAACAGAAGUUCAGGUUCCCUGGAAGCUGCCGUUCUGGUGCCCACUUCAAAUUAUUCCCCUUCCCCAAGUUACACUUCUGCCCUUAGCUCUCUGUCUGGGAGUUACUCAGCUACCUGGGAGGUACCUGAGCCCUUGCAAGGGAAGGAGGGAGGGAGGGCAGACAACAGGACAGUACUGCCAUGAAACAGUUAUAAGUUAUAACCUUCAACCACAGUACUUCAAAUGUUUCAGGGUCCCAGCAACCCAGGGAGGGAAAAGAAUCAGAUACACAUUAAGCAGUUUCCUGUGCUGAGCUACAGACAGCUGCCAAUCAGCACAGCCUCCCCAGUCAGACAGGAAAGAAACCACAAGCUCUUCCCUCCACUCUUCCCUGUGGCUCUCCCCACAUCACUGACACUCCAACAGACUACUUUUUAAUGGGACCAAGGCAAAGCCCAAAGUCUACAAGGUACAGUAACUAGAGGCACAGACAGGACACUAGUUGGAUACAGAUGCCACAACAAAGAACAUCUGGAUAGGAAGAGGUUCUCUGUGGCCCCAGAGAUUCACAGAUUCAGGCAAUGCACAUGCAGAAAAGUUCAAGUAUGUAGGUACCCAGAAGUUAGCUGGAGAAAAAUCCAGAACUCAUGCUGUUUCUAAAGUUCCCCAGCUUCCUACUUUUCACUUCAUGGCCAGGCAUUACCAGUUUAAACUCUGGGAAU